UCGGGAAUAUUGCGCAAUGGAGGAAACUCUGACGCAGUGACGCCGCGUAUAGGAAGAAGGUUUUCGGAUUGUAAACUAUUUUAGACAGGGAAGAAAUUGACAGUACCUGUAGAAUAAGCUCCGGCUAACUACGUGCCAGCAGCCGCGGUAAUACGUAGGGAGCAAGCGUUAUCCGGAUUUAUUGGGUGUAAAGGGUGCGUAGACGGGAAAGCAAGUUAGUUGUGAAAGCCCUCGGCUUAACUGAGGAACUGCAACUAAAACUACUAUUCUUGAGUGCAGGAGAGGAAAGCGGAAUUCCUAGUGUAGCGGUGAAAUGCGUAGAUAUUAGGAGGAACACCAGUGGCGAAGGCGGCUUUCUGGACUGUAACUGACGUUGAUGCACGAAAGUGUGGGGAGCAAACAGGA
rnacentral:rRNA from 1 species